UACGUAGGGUGCAAGCGUUAAUUCGGAAUUACUGGGCGUAAAGAGCUCGUAGGCGGUCUGUCGCGUCCGGCUGUGAAAACCCGAGGCUCAACCUCGGGCCUGCAGUCGAUACGGGCAAACUAGAGUACUGCAGGGGAGACUGGAAUUCCGUGGUGUAGCGGUGAAAUGCGCAGAUAUCAGGAGGAACACCGGUGGCGAAGGCGGGUCUCUGGGCAGUAACAUGACGCUGGAGGAGCGAAAGCGUGGGGGAGCGAACAGG
rnacentral:rRNA from 1 species